CGGAACACGUACACAACCUUCCGAUAAGUGGGGAAUAGCCCAGAGAAAUUUGGAUUAAUACCCCGUAACAUAUAGAGUAGGCAUCUUCUUUGUAUUAUAGCUUCGGCGCUUAUUGAUGGGUGUGCGUCUGAUUAGGUAGUUGGCGGGGUAACGGCCCACCAAGCCUACGAUCAGUAGCUGAUGUGAGAGCAUGAUCAGCCACACGGGCACUGAGACACGGGCCCG
rnacentral:rRNA from 1 species